rfam:Triticum aestivum genome assembly, contig: Triticum_aestivum_CS42_TGACv1_scaffold_731791_3B
UAUGUACUCCCUCCGUCCGGAAAUACUUGUCAUCAAAAUGGAUAAAAGGGGAUGCAUCUAGAUGUAUUUUAGUUCUAGAUACAUCUCUUUUUAUCCAUUUUGAUGACAAGUAUUUUCGGACGGAGGGAGUACAAG